UUACCAUCAUCUCUCUCAAACACACACACACACUCCGCCACAGAGUAAAUAGAGAUAUACAUAAGGAAAAGAGCUAGCCUAAUACAGGAGUGAACGGGCAGAAACAGAGUGAGAAAUUCCGAUGACAACAGCAAUCCGUUUCAGUUAUCACUGAGAAACAGGGUCCAUUAGAGGUUCGUCAAUUUCCAGCGAGCUUCAAGAUCGUCGAAGGUCCUGGUCUGAGGUCUCUGUUCAGCGCCAUUUUCAAUCGAGUGAAGCCCAUUCCGGUUAAUGUCCAACCUUUAUUUGGCAUUUUUGAACUAUUUCUUUGCUUUCAAUAGGUAAACCUCGUCAUCUUUGCCUUAUUUAUUUUCUAGCUCGCCUAUUCCUUCUUUUGUUGAAU
rnacentral:lncRNA from 1 species